GCUCCCUUAGCUCAACUGGCAGAGCAACUGACUCUUAAUCAGUAGGUUCAAGGUUCGAGUCCUUGAGGGAGCA
rnacentral:tRNA from 1 species